UACACUAUCGCAAGUGCCAGAGCUCUCAGUGCUGCAGUUUUCUAGACGCAGUGCGGCAAAGCAGACGCCUAGAACCGGGCAUGGAGCAGCGUAGGUUUUAUUAUUUUUUUACUACCCAAAAAUUCAUCCAUCUGUUUUAAUAUACUGAACAUUUUUUGCUUUGGUUACAGUACAAGGAACAGCGUACCACCACCUGGAUGUGCUUCUUGGCUUCUGACAUUAGCAGCGUCUCUGAACUGAGGCAGGCACACUGCUUGGAGCUUUUUACUUAAAUUGCUUCUGAUGAAGAAUGAUUUUUUUUUUUAUUUUUUGGUCUUGUACGUGAACAGUUGCUUAUGCCACAGUGAUAUAUACCUGCAAGAACAGGACAAAGGAGACGAUACCUGUUACUGUUUUGGGGCCUUCCCCCCCCUUUCCAUCUCCCCCCCUUUUUUCUUCAGACGAUCUGCUGCUCAAGCCGACUCACUGUCCUAGAGUCAUAUGUUAGUUGUGCUCCUAUAGAUAGGCACUGCUUCUCAGAUCCGUUAGAGCAAAAAAGGCAGACAAGAAAGCAGUCUCCCUGACCUAAAUCAAUCCCAGCCCUUCUGGACGGAUGCAGGAUAGCUGUCGACUAGCAGUGACACAACCAGCCAUCAAGUGGAGAAUCUCUGGGAUUGCAAUCCGUUUUGGUUUCAGCCUGUGAGAAUCGAAUGCUCCACUUCCUUACCCAACUGCUGCCGUUUUUGUGUUUUUGUGUUUAUAUCUCUUGGCCCUAAGCAGCUACUUGGGUCUCUUAAGUGUACCUUUGUAUGGAUUAGCCUGUCGACACCAUAGUCCUUGUCCGCGUCAUGCUGGAAUCAAGGGCACUGAAGCCAGCCUGCUUUAACAGUUGUUUCUUUCUGCGUGAUGCUAUGCAGCUAGAAUGCUUUAUACAGACAACAAAGGAAGACACAGAAAACACCACUAUCAUCUGGGUUGUUUCAGGAAAAAUAGAAGUCUUCGUCAGUGCAUUAUAUUCUUUUUGUCUUUUGCUGGGUUUUUUCCCUUUCUUUUUAAAACACCUAAUCAAACAGCCUAAGAGGCAUCGCUGUGGAUGUGGGUUUUUAAAAUGCUAUGGGGGAAAAGAAAAGACAGCUCAUGGAGAACUGCGAUUUGAGGCAAGCUGCACAUCUUUUACACUGUUGCUGAUUUGAAAUGCUCAGGUUUGGCGAAGAGGAAGCCCUAAGGGACAAGUUCAGUAACUAAGAAAGCGAUGGUAGAUAAAAAGAAAUAAAAAUGACAAGCGUAAUGGAGGCUCAGUAGAAGGAACUGUCAGAGAAAUCAGUGCCUGGAUGGCAAUCUUACCCAGUCUGAAUAAUUAUGAAUAAUUCAUUGAACAAAAUUACUCUGCUUUCACCUUUUCCACUUAAAAUGGCAUGAUGUGAAUCUCCAAUAAAUUUUCAAGAUAAAAUAUAAUGCCAAUUUGAAUCUGAAGAGCUUUUUGCAGCCAGAUGCUGCAUUCUGAUUUUUUUCCGAUACCUUUCACAAUUAUUCUGUGAGAACCCCACUUCAUCACAAAGCACCAUUACCAGUGAAAAUUACUGUGAUUACAAUGGCAACAAUAGAAUGCCAUCAAACGUUUCUAAUUUUACUAAUUUACUAAAGGCUGACUGAAUUGGUUUUCAUGCCCAGGUCUCCAUGCCUGGCACCUUGGAUCUGUAGCAGAAUGAAGCAAAAGUGGCUGGGUAAUGUGUCCUAUUCACCACCUUUAACGUCAACAGCCUAAGAAAAGAGGUAGCAGUCUGUUAAUCACGGUUGCGGCCAUCUAUGUUUCAAUCUUGUCUUCCAGCAUUCUGGAUUGUAUUGUUUUAGCUCCUGGUCAUAAGAUGGGACUCUGUUAACAGAUGGACCGUUCUUGGAUAUAAUCUCUCUGUAUGUUCAUGAAAGUUUCCUUCCAUUUAAAGCCAUGAUAUCCUAAGGUAUGUUCUCACACAUCACUUCUGAGUUGAGGAACGUGCCAUUAGAUGUUUAAUGAUGGCUGCCUACAAAAGGUAGCUGAUUAUGUGAAAGUGCUUGUUUGCCAUUCUCCCACAUUGAAGGCGGUGUGUGAAGGGCCCUUUAGGAAUUCUACAAUUUACUUUCAGAUGUGCAAUCCCACCGCAAUAGUUAUGGCAGCAGGAGCCUUCCCUUAUUUGAUGAAAUUUUAUUUUAGCCUUCUUUUGUCUGGCAUGCUGCCCUUUUUGUUAUGAAUAGUGUUAUUACAAGGGCCAUAGCCAGAUGCCUCAGUAGGAAUCUUUUCAUUAGACUCUCACUGUUUAUACCUAUUCAAAUUUGAGGCUCUAUUUUACAUUAAAUACCUGUUUUCACACAUACACUACUUUUGGUUCCAGCUUGAUAUUUUGCUUCACCAUAAUAUACUUUGUGUUGAGACAAGCAAAGUAACUGAAGUUUU